rnacentral:rRNA from 1 species
CAGCCGCCACGGGAAUACGUAGGUGGCAAGCGUUGUCCGGAAUUAUAGGGCGUAAAGGGCUCGCAGGCGGUUUCUUAAGUCUGAUGUGAAAGCCCCCGGCUCAACCGGGGAGGGUCAUUGGAAACUGGGAAACUUGAGUGCAGAAGAGGAGAGUGGAAUUCCACGUGUAGCGGUGAAAUGCGUAGAGAUGUGGAGGAACACCAGUGGCGAAGGCGACUCUCUGGUCUGUAACUGACGCUGAGGAGCUAAAGCGUGGGGAGCGAACAGGAUUAGAUACCCGUGUAGUCCCUGUCUCUUAUAC